UUUGUUUUUCCCCUUAAUUUGUACUACAUUAUUAUAUAAUAAUUAAUAUUUAAAUAUUAACAUGCAAUAAUUUAAUAAGAAGAUUACGGAUGGACCGAGGGAAUAUAUUUUAUUGUCUCAUAAAAAAUUAAUAUUCUACACGAAUAUUAUUUUUAUAUUAUCGACACAAUUUUUUAUAUUUCACUCAAAAAUAUGUAUAUUUCAAACUAAAAUACUAAAUAAAUAUAUUAACAAGUUUAUACCAUUGUUAUCUUUUUUUUUGGUGUCUUUGAUUUUAAUUUGAAAUUAAAAUUUAAUUUUAAUAAUAUUUAUAUGUGACUUUUAUUUCAAAAAAAUAUAUAUUUAUUAAAAAUUAUAGAAUUUGAAUAUUACUAUUUUAUUUAAUAUAAAAAAACACACCAUUUAUUUCAUUAUUUAGUUUAACAAUAUGUUAAUAGGUAACAACAACAUACAAAGACCCCCCUCUCCCAGCUACCCAACCCAACUACCCCAACCAGUCCAUCCACCUCCAUAUCUCCGUGAUAUGGAGUUGGUAGUAUUAUUUUAAAUAAUACUACCUUCAUUUUAUAUACCAUGUUUGCUACACUGUAAAUACGGUAUUUUAAAAGUGAUGUAAUUAGUAGAUAAUUAAAAAUAUAUUAGUGAAAAUAAUUAUCUUAUAAUAUAAAUAAUUAUAAAUUAAGAUAACUAAUUAGUGUGAUACCAGACUUUCUCACUACUCAUUGGCCAAAAUAUAUUUUAUAUUUUAGGUGCCGGUAAAUUACUUAUAUAUUAAAUUGCUUAUAAUUUGGUAUAUACGUUACCUAUUUAUUAAUAAUAAAAUAUUAUCAUAAUUUAUAUGAAAUUCUAGUAAAAUACAAAUAAAUUUGAUAAAUUAUUUGGAUACUAGUGAUGUAAAUUAAAUAUAGAUUAUUUGAAAAUUUAUUGUAUUAAUUAAAUACAAAUUAAAAUAAAUAAAACAACUAAAUAAAUAAAUAAUAAUUAUGAAAAUAAUAAUAAUAAUAAUAAAAUGUAAGGCGGUGGGAUGGGGUAAUAACCUCGCCCCCACCUUAUCCAUUUCAAUUCAAUUAGAAGAGGACAGGGAGAAUAAUAAUAAUAAAAUGUAACCCCGUGGGCCGGGGUAAUAAACCCCACCCCCACCUUGUCCAUUUCAAUUCAAUUCGAAGAGGACAUGGAGAAAGGCAAACGCGGAAAAGAACAAAAAAAAAAAAUUUACGCCGAAUUCGUUAAAAGCCUAAUUCAUGUAUUUUUGUGUUCAUGAAUUAUUACUAUUUUAUUAAGUAACGGAAGUUUUGAGUAUAAAUAAUUAUUUAGUAAAUUGGGGUAAUAUUUGUAAUUAAUUGUUAUUAGAUACGAGACUGGAAUCAUUAAAAGGGCUAUAAAAGUUAGGAUUAUUGACGUUUUUGGCGAAUUUCAGGUAAGUAGAAACUCAUUUGCAACUACAAUGUAUAAUAUAUUAUUUUGUAAGUUAUUUAUGUUUGUUUGAUAAUAUGUGAAUAUCAGAAAGUUGUGAUUAAUAUUAUGUGAUUGUGUGGUUUGAGCCUGUGAGCUCCGUAUACAAAUUGGUUUCAGUAUGUGAGCUCAUUAUGUGAUAUGGUCGAACCUGUGAACUCUAUAUUUGAUGUUGAAGGAGUCUGUGAGCUCCAAAAUUGAUGUGGUUUGAACCAGUGAGUUCAAUAAUAUCUGUAUAUUGUGAAAUAUGUUGCAUUGCAUUUUCAUUAAACAUAUAUAUCAUGCAUUGAAAUGAAAUAAGAUGGUUUUACUAUGUUCGACCGCUGAUUAUACACCGAGGGCGGGAGAGACGACCUGGGGAAACCUGGUGUAGGCUACCUGGUGUAGGCCACCGUCUAUUGUGACUUUCCAUACAAUGCAUAAACAAUGCAUUCGGAAGAGGCGACUUGGAAAGAAGCGACCCGGGGAAACCUUACGAUGAGACCCGGUGUAGGCUACCUGGUGUAGGCCACCGUUUGAUUUGAAUAUAUGGAUAUUGAGCUCUUCCGGUGUAUAACAGUAUGUCUAGGGGCCCUGGAAAGUAUUUCAUAAAUAAAUUGGUAAUCCUGAUGAUAUAUGACUUGGUGGACAGACUGGAGUAGCAGUGGCGCUCUUACAGGCAUUUUGAGUUACCGUGUACAUAGAUGACGACCUACGGGCAGGACCGUGGCUUGUUUUGCUUCCGUUGUUCUACGGAGAUUUAGAAGUUGUAUGGUGUUGUUAUAAAUAGUAUGUCGAUUACGUAGUUUUUGAUAUGGUUUGAGAUCCUUUUGGUGAAUUUUAACAGGUUACCGUUGAGUUA